rnacentral:rRNA from 1 species
UACGUAGGGGGCGAGCGUCGUCCGGAAUUAUUGGGCGUAAAGCGCGCGCAGGCGGUUUCUUAAGUCUGGUGCUUAAGUGCGGGGCUCAACCCCGUGACGCACUGGAAACUGGGAGACUUGAGUGCAGAAGAGGAGAGCGGAAUUCCACGUGUAGCGGUGAAAUGCGUAGAGAUGUGGAGGAACACCAGUGGCGAAGGCGGCUCUCUGGACUGUAACUGACGCUGAGGCGCGAAAGCGUGGGGAGCAAACAGG